CAGGAACAGACGUAAAAUACAAUUUCUACGAUAAAAACUCAUGAAAACCGUGAUAAUGAUCAUUUUGAUUUUGAUAGGAGCAUUGUAUUUAUAGCAAUCGGAAUUUCAACAGUAGCUCUCGUUGUGGCUCUUACUGCGGUUGUUAUUAUCCACUACAAGAAGUUCAGACACAAGUUGAAUAUUAAUGACUCUGUCACUGAUAUGAGGGAGAGAACUUCUACCACAAUUAGAAGAGAGUAUAGAAGGAACAACAUGGUGACAACAACUUCGAGAGCUACAUACACUUCCAUAGAAUCUUGUCGAAUCUUCUCAGGAGCGAUCAAGAGCGAAGACGUGUUCAGGAGAGAAAGUGAUGACAAACAAUCAUAUUAUGAGCGUGUGCUGCCGGAAUAUACUGAAUACCUAACACCUGUGUGUGGUAAAAGUGGACUGAUAUACAGUGACGGACCGUCUCCAUACACCUCUUCUUCUUUACCAGAGUACACAGAAAAGGACACAACUCAUUGUAAUAGUAUAUACGAGGAAGUGGACGAAAACUACACACAGAAACUUUCUGCUGGACCGUAACAUUCGUAAUUUAUAUGAACACUUUCAAAUUGUAAAUAACAGUAAAGCUCAUACAACAAGUAUAUACAAGUUACUCUUCCACACAAUGAUACUUAUCUUAUGAAUGUCGAUAGUCGUCCAUUUAAGUUAACCAGUUGACUCUUAUUUGAUCAAAAUUGUUUCAUUUGUAUAUUGAUACAGCUCAUAGAUUCU